rnacentral:rRNA from 1 species
UACGAAGGGGGCGAGCGUUGUUCGGAUUUACUGGGCGUAAAGGGCGCGCAGGCGGCUUGACAAGUCAGGCGUGAAAGCCCCGGGCUUAACCUGGGAACUGCGUCUGGGACUGUUGGGCUAGAGUUCGGGAGAGGAGAGUGGAAUUCCCAGUGUAGAGGUGAAAUUCGUAGAUAUUGGGAAGAACACCGGUGGCGAAGGCGGCUCUCUGGACCGAGACUGACGCUGAGGCGCGAAAGCGUGGGGAGCAAAC